CAGCAGCCGCGGUAAAACGGAGGGGGCUAGCGUUGUUCGGAAUUACUGGGCGUAAAGCGCACGUAGGCUGCUUUGUAAGUUAGAGGUGAAAGCCUGGUGCUCAACACCAGAACUGCCUUUAAGACUGCAGAGCUAGAACGUCGGAGAGGUGAGUGGAAUUCCGAGUGUAGAGGUGAAAUUCGUAGAUAUUCGGAAGAACACCAGUGGCGAAGGCGGCUCACUGGACGACUGUUGACGCUGAGGUGCGAAAGCGUGGGGAGCAAACAGGAUUAGAGACCCCAGUAGUCCCUGUCUCUUAUAC
rnacentral:rRNA from 1 species